AUCAUGGGCAGUACCUGUGUAACAGUGUACUGUAACAGUGUAAAGGGCUGAUUCCCAGCCAUGGCUCAGCAAGUGUUUUCUGAGUACUGUUCUAGGAGUUCCGGACAGGACAGAACUGACAGAGCCUCUCCUUUCAUAGAGGUGCUCGGUAAACACAUUAGAGCACAUCAAAGGUGGCAGGUGCAAUGUAGACAGACAAGGCUGGAUCAGGGGAAGGGGCAUGGGGUGAGGAUGUUUCUGUUUUCCUCGGGGUAACAAAGGCAAAGGCAGGUCUAUCUGAAAGGUGACGAUCGCGCAGAGAGCUGGAGAAAGCGAGGGAGAAGGCCAUGGGAUUACCUGAAGGAAGAGCAUUCCAGGCGGGAAGAAGGAGCAGAUGCAGCAGUCCUGGCGGGGACAUCUACUUGAGGUGCUUCUGGAUCUCAAGAAGGAGUCCUGUGAUGCCCUGGCUUUGGCUCCGAGCACUCAUUGAACUGGUAGUCUGGUGCUGCUCUGGCUCUUUGUCCCACAGCUUGUGGUCCUCCCCGUUUCACAGAUGAAGGACCCGGGGCUCCAAGAUGUGUCUUGCACCUUCUCCCUGCUUAUGCUUGACAUUACCGAAGAGGGGUGAAACCUUCUAGUCCGUCAUGAGAGACAGAGGGCUUGAGUGGUAGAGCCCCAGGGAGGACACCAUCCACACUGAAUGUCAGCCAAACAGCCAACAUCACUUAUAAUACGGGAGUCCUGCCCCUCAUAACGUUUCUACUCUUGAUGGGGGGCAGGGCUUUAGGAAUGAGAAAGGGACUGGGGCAAAGGAGAGGGGCAGGAAGGAGAAGCUGGAAGACAGUGAGAAAAAACCCACUGGCUUCAUCAUAUUGCUGGGAUUUGGCCCAGUUCACCUUGUUUAACUGAUCAUAUGAGGAGGUCAAGGGCAAGGGAUGGGUCAGUGCAGCAUGUGAGGAGGACCUCAGUGGAGGAGGGAUGGCUUGUUUACGUUGGGAAUUCAUCAACUCAGCAAAUGUUUGAGGAUAGUGGGCGCCACGUCUGCCCCUUCUGGAAAAGGGAAUUGCUGAUAUGGAAAAGAAGUAAAGCAGAACACAUUCUGAGGUGUUCUGCUGGAAUUGGAAGUUCUCCAUGAGAAGGCCUGGUUUUCAGUAGCUAGGUGUGCACAUGUAGACAGAUACUUACAUGUAGAUGUGGAAGCAGCAAGAUCCCAAUGGCAGUAAGUACACCCCGUCCCAGAUCCUAGCUUCCAAAUUCCGUUCUCCACUAAAUGCUGGGUUCCCAGGCCGAGGAGGGAGAGUAUAAAUGAGGCUGGCUCCACUUGUCAUGUCAGCAGUAAGGAAAAGUUCAAGGAAUGAGGAGGAUGUGUCGAGGGGACAGAGAAUACAGCUUGAAGGCAAAGGCAAUCCCACUUGAAAAACCGGAGACUCUUUCAUUCUUCCAGGUUUAUUGAGGUAUUACCGACUCAAACCAUGAAAGUUUCAGGUGCUCAAUAUCAUGAUUUGAUACACAUAUAUGGCAAAAUGAUUACCACAAUACGGUUAGUUAGCACUGUAUCCACUCACAUCAUUAUGUUUUUAAGAAUUUUUUGGUGAUAACAUUUCAGUUCUUCUCUCUUUUC
ensembl:lncRNA